AAAAACAUGGCCUUUUGAGUUUUAUUUAAGGUCUAGCCUGCUCAAUGAGUUUUAAAUAGCCGCAGUAUCCUGACUGUGCGAAGGUAGCAUAAUCAUUAGUUUUUUAAUUGAAAGCUGGAAUGAAAGGUCGAAUGAGAAAAUAGCUGUCUCUAUAAAAAUUAUAUAGAAUUUUAUUUUUGAGUUAAAAAGCUUAAAUAUUAGUAAAAGACGAGAAGACCCUGUAGAGUUUUAUACUUAUAAAAAAUUUCUUUUUCAGUAUUUUAAAAUUGAUUUUUUUAUAGUAUUUGGUUGGGGUGAUUAGAAAAUUUAGUAAACUUUUCUUUUAAUAGUACAUUUAUUUAUGAAAAUAUGAUCCUUUGUUUAGAUUAUAAGAUUAAAUUACCUUAGGGAUAACAGCGUAAUUUUUUUUGAGAGUUCUUAUCGAAAAGAAAGAUUGCGACCUCGAUGUUGGAUUAAAAUAAAUUUUUGGUGUAGAAGCUAAAGUAAUUAGGUCUGUUCGACCUUUAAAAUUUUACUUGAUCUGAGUU
rnacentral:rRNA from 1 species